rnacentral:rRNA from 1 species
UACGUAGGGUGCGAGCGUUAAUCGGAAUUACUGGGCGUAAAGCGUGCGCAGGCGGUGAUGUAAGUCAGAUGUGAAAUCCCCGGGCUCAACCUGGGAACUGCAUCUGUGACUGCAUCGCUGGAGUGCGGCAGAGGGGGAUGGAAUUCCGCGUGUAGCAGUGAAAUGCGUAGAUAUGCGGAGGAAUACUGAUGGCGAAGGCAGCCCCCUGGGAUAACACUGACGCUCAUGCACGAAAGCGUGGGGAGCAAACAGG